rnacentral:rRNA from 1 species
CCGUUGUCGAGUGGCGAACGGGUGAGUAACACGUGAGGAACCUGCCCCGGAGACCGGGACAACCAGGGGAAACCCUGGCUAAUACCGGAUGCCCUCGGAUGGUCGCAUGGCCAACCGAGGAAACGCUUCGGUGCUCCGGGAGGGCCUCGCGGCCUAUCAGCUUGUUGGUGGGGUAACGGCCCACCAAGGCAUCGACGGGUAGCUGGUCUGAGAGGACGAUCAGCCACACUGGGACUGAGACACGGCCCAGACUCCUACGGGAGGCAGCAGUGGGGAAUAUUGCGCAAUGGGCGAAAGCCUGACGCAGCAACGCCGCGUGGGGGAUGAAGGCCUUCGGGUUGUAAACCCCUUUCAGCAGGGACGAAAAUGACGGUACCUGCAGAAGAAGCCCCGGCCAACUACGUGCCAGCAGCCGCGGUAACACGUAGGGGGCGAGCGUUGUCCGGAUUUAUUGGGCGUAAAGAGCUCGUAGGCGGUUGCGUAAGUCGGAUGUGAAAACUCAGGGCUCAACCCGGAGACGCCAUCCGAUACUGCGCUGACUAGAGUCCGGUAGGGGAGCAUGGAAUU